UACGGGGGGGGCAAGCGUUGUUCGGAAUUACUGGGCGUAAAGGGCGCGUAGGCGGCGACCCAAGUCAGAUGUGAAAGUCCUGGGACUUAACCUGGGGACUGCAUUUGAUACUGGGUUGCUUGAAUUCGGGAGAGGAUAGCGGAAUUCCCAGUGUAGAGGUGAAAUUCGUAGAUAUCUGGAGGAACACCGGUGGCGAAGGCGGCAUCCUGGACCACGACUGACGCUGAGGAGCGAAAGCCAGGGGAGCAAAGCGGGG
rnacentral:rRNA from 1 species